UAAAGGAGCAUGAAAGGAACAGGAGUCUGUGCAGCAUCAGAGAGACUGAAUGGGAUAUCUACAAGAUCUUCACAAAGAUAUUGCAGAAGGAAGAGCUUGAGACCUGCAAUGUGAGGAAGAAUGUUUCAGGUCUUAUCUAAGGCAAAGAUUACAACCAAAUAGAAAUAUGGUAUGCUGGACCUUAAGACAUUUUCAGCAUUUUCUACUGCUCUCUUUCAAGUGUACAUCUUAGGAUCCAUGUAACGUGGUGUCUGUUUUUCUUCUUUCAAAAAAUGAGAAUGACCAAGAGGAAAAAUGAAAAAAGAGUGAUGCACCACCAGUCUGGUGAUAUUUGUUCUAUCAGGCAUAGACGGAAUGUUCUACUUCUCUAUUUGAGGCAACAUGCUCUUGCUGACCCUUUCUGAGCAGGCAUUUGGACUGGAUCAUUUCCAGAGAUGACUUCCAACUUCCAACUUCUGUGAUUCUGUGAUAAAGCUUAAGAUAAUACUUAGUUUAAAU
ensembl:lncRNA